rnacentral:misc_RNA from 1 species
AAGUCGUAACAAGGUCUCCGUUGGUGAACCAGCGGAGGGAUCAUUACCGAGUUUACAAACUCCCAACCCUUUGUGAACCUUACCAUAUUGUUGCUUCGGCGGGACCGCCCCGGCGCCUUCGGGCCCGGAACCAGGCGCCCGCCGGAGGCCCCAAACUCUUAUGUCUUUAGUGGUUUUCUCCUCUGAGUGACACAUAAACAAAUAAAUAAAAACUUUCAACAACGGAUCUCUUGGUUCUG